UUCUCAUAGUCAUAUUAAGUAUAUUAUUAUUAUCUGUCUGAAAAAAUUUAUAAUAAAUAAAUAUUGUACUAAGUUCAAUGUUAUAAAUAUUGUAGUUAUGUAUGAUGAACAUUUCGACAAAGUUAUAUAUUUCAUUAAUACGUAUCACAAGUUGAUAAAUUGUCAUAUAGUUGAUUUUGUUACUGAAAACUUAUGGAUGACAUGUUUACCAGAAACUUUAAGAUCGGAAUUAGAGAAGAACGAAUUAAAUUGGAUGAAUUGGACAGAAAAUGACGAUUAUCCUAUGUUAAAUAAUUUUAUGAAAUUGGCAAAAUCUUUAUCUUUGCAAUCAUGUUCUAUGGAAAUAAAUUCAAAAGAUUUCUCAAAUACAUUGCCACAUAUUAACAAUGAAAAUAAAUGUAUGUAUGAAAGUAUUAAGGUAGAAUUUAUAAAUGCAAAAAAAUUACACGAGGUUGAAUCCCUUGGUAAUAUCAUUGGGGAAAUUGCUGCAAAAACAAAUAAUUUAGUAAUUGAUGCUGGUGCUGGGAAAGCAUAUCUAUCAACAUUCUUAGCAGAAAAUCAUCAAGUUCCCGUACUUGCAAUAGAUUCUUCACAAUUAUGUAGCAAUGGAGCAAUUUGUAGACAGAAGAAAUUACAAAAGAAACUAAUACUUUCUCCUGUGCUGGUACGCUAUGUAGUUGAAGAAAUAAAUGAUAGAACCGAUUAUAUAAAAAUGAUAAAACAAAAUUUUUGCAAUUGGGAUAUAAAUAAAAAUCUUAUAUUAACUGGUUUACAUACAUGUGGUUCUCUCACUGAUUCAGUUAUUAGAACAUUUUUAGCUACGAAAGACAUUAAUAUUUUAUGCAUAGUGCCUUGUUGUUAUCAUUUGUCAAAUGAAACAUUUAAUAAAAAAAUUAGUUUUUCUAAGAAUGCUAGAAUGUUAGCACAACAAUCUAUUGAAAGGAGCAUGAAAAAUAAGUUUGUACCUUCGUCAUUGUUCUAUAGAGCAAUUUUACAAGUGACUUUUCAUUCCUUGGGUAUUUAUAAUGCUAAAGUAGGUCGCGGAGGACCUUUACACGAUUUUCCAAGUUACGCUCAAUGGGCAUUUUCAAAAAUUGGAAUAGAUUUGGAGAAGAUACCAUCACGGGAAACAUUAACAAAUACAUUUCAACUUUAUGCACAUUUAACGAAGAAGUUUUAUAUAUUUCAAAUGUUAAGGGUACAUGUUGGUCUUGUAUUAGAAGCAGCCAUUAUGUUGGAUAGAAUAAUAUUUUUACAGAACAGUAAUCAGUGUUCUAAAAUUGCGAUAUUACGUUUAUUUGAUCCUAUGUUAUCUCCACGACGUUAUGGCAUCAUUGCAGUAAAAUAACAAUGGAAAAGAAAAUUAAAAACAAAGAAGAAACAAUAUAAAUAUAUAAAAAAUUAUGUAAUCCAUAACUGAGCAGUAUCCUUCUUCCUUUGCCACUGGAACUAAUUUUCCAGUUGGAGAUAAACCACUUUUUGUUCUACAUAUACUACAAUUACAUAAACCACGGCAAGGUGGGCAAGCCCAGUCCU